AGUGAACGCUGGCGGUAGGCCUAACACAUGCAAGUCGAACGGCAGCACAGUAAGAGCUUGCUCUUACGGGUUGCGAGUGGCGGACGGGUGAGGAAUACAUCGGAAUCUACUUUUUCGUGGGGGAUAACGUAGGGAAACUUACGCUACUACCGCAUACGACCUACGGGUGAAAGCAGGGGAUCUUCGGACCUUGCGCGAUUGAAUGAGCCGAUGUCGGAUUAUCUAGUUGGCGGGGUAAAGGCCCACCAAGGCGACGAUCCGUAGCUGGUCUGAGAGGAUGAUCAGCCACACUGGAACUGAGACACGGUCCAGACUACUACGGGAGGCAGCAGUGGGGAAUAUUGGACAAUGGGCGAAAGCCUGAUCCAGCCAUACCGCGUGGGUGAAGAAGGCCUUCGGGUUGUAAAGCCCUUUUGUUGGGAAAGAAAAGCAGCAGGUUAAUACCCAGCUGUUCUGACGGUACCCAAAGAAUAAGCACCGGCUAACUUCGUG
rnacentral:rRNA from 1 species